AAAAACAUGUUUUCAAUGUCAAAUAUGUAAAACAAAAGGCUAAAAACUCGUAUAUACACAAUUCAUCAUUUCCCUAGCACAAACAAAUUUAGUCUAGCGUGUUAAGAAGAAGAAAACAAAAGAAAUAUUGAAAAAACGACAUAACCAAAAUAAAUCUUGAAUUGAAUCUUCGCAUCUUGAAAUCAAUUUUCAUAUUUUCUGCCCCCUUCUAUGCUC
rnacentral:lncRNA from 1 species